rnacentral:rRNA from 1 species
AGAGUUUGAUCAUGGCUCAGAAUGAACGUUGGCGGUGUGGAUUAGGCAUGCAAGUCGUACGCUUCAUGUAGCAAUACAUGAGGAGUGGCGAAAGGGAGAGUAAUACAUGGUUAGCUACCCUCGGGUCUGGGAUAGCGGCGGGAAACUGCCGGUAAUACCAGAUGACAUCUUCGGAUCAAAGGUGUGACUCCGCCCGAGGAGGUGACCGUGUCCUAUCAGCUUGUUGGCGGGGUAACGGCCCACCAAGGCAAAGACGGGUAUGGGGCGUGAGAGCGUGCCCCCACUCACUGGGACUGAGAACUGCCCAGACACCUACGGGUGGCUGCAGUCGAGAAUCUUCGGCAAUGGGCGCAAGCCUGACCGAGCGACACCGCGUGCGGGAUGAAGGCCUUCGGGUUGUAAACCGCUGUCGUAGGGGAGGAAGGUUCCGUGAAGAACGGAGCUUGACCGAUCCUAGGAGGAAGGGCCGGCUAAUCUCGUGCCAGCAGCCGCGGUAAUACGAGAGGCCCAAACGUUAUUCGGAUUUACUGGGCUUAAAGAGUUCGUAGGCGGCGCGGAAAGUAGGGUGUGAAAGCCCUCGGCUCAACCGAGGAAUUGCGCUCUAAACUACCGUGCUCGAGGAACCUAGAGGUGAGCGGAACUGAUGGUGGAGCGGUGAAAUGCGUUGAUAUCAUCAGGAACACCGGAGGCGAAGGCGGCUCACUGGGGGUUAUCUGACGCUGAGGAACGAAAGCCAGGGGAGCAAACGGGAUUAGAUACCCCGGUAGUCCUGG